rnacentral:rRNA from 1 species
UACGGGGGGGGCAAGCGUUGUUCGGAAUUACUGGGCGUAAAGGGCUCGUAGGCGGCCAACUAAGUCGGACGUGAAAUCCCUCGGCUUAACCGGGGAACUGCGUCUGAUACUGGAUGGCUUGAAUCCGGGAGAGGGAUGCGGAAUUCCAGGUGUAGCGGUGAAAUGCGUAGAUAUCUGGAGGAACACCGGUGGCGAAGGCGGCAUCCUGGACCGGCAUUGACGCUGAGGUGCGAAAGCGUGGGGAGCAAACAGG